AUCUUACUGUAGAUCUGUGUAUAGCUGAAGUGUUCUGAAGGACUUUCUACCUCACAAGCUUGUGGAGCUGGAGGAGACACUACCUUAUUUGCAAGUCCUGAGCUAAAACCGAGAGCUGCUCUAAGGGGACGUAUGGCUACUUCCAGACCAGAGUACCCAUCAGUUCUGCAGGAAGGCUGCUCUGUGCCCAGCAGCACUUCAGCAGAAGAAAGGAGCAUCCUUGAUGCGGAGUACUCUGAGUUAGAUUUCAUCUUGACUUCUCAUUCUAACAAACACUGAGGAGGUGUCUUGAGGUACUCUGUUGUUGCAGCAGCCCAGGUGAAGCUUGUGGAAUCUUUCUGCACCAGCUGCCAGCAGCCUGACUCUCUCACUGAGAGCUCUAAAGAGCAACAGGUGGGACCUUCCCAAGGCACGCUGUAGGGGAAACCCAACAGUGCCUGCAGCAUACUUAUGGAAGAAGUUGUCAUUGGCAGAUGAAUGCAGAUAGUAUAUUUGCAGAUCUAUCUCAUCCCAUGCAUCAGUUGUACUGAAAUUACUGUCCUGAAUCCUGUUACAGGUCAGUUCUGUAAAUGCUUAGCUGUAUGCCGAAGCAUGAAUUCUGACGGACCCACUGCUGGUUUUGAAUUCAAGCUUGCCUUUACGUGGCCUCGAAAAACCUUCUACUUGGGUGUAUAUUUUUCUACACAAACCCACGAGAGGGCAGCAGACAGCAAGGGUUCGGGCAGUGCCUCACUGCAGGCAGCUCAGGCAGCACCCAGCAAACGGGGAACGAAGCUGGUCGUUGGUUACAGAGCAUUAAAACCAUCUCGAGUCGGGUCUGGAAAGAAAAUGUGAUAGAUACUGUAAUUUUAGAUGAACUUUGUCUCUGACAUUGGAAUCUGCCACUCUCCUUUGGCUCCUGUUUUUACAUUUGUAAGGGCUGUGUUUUUAUUGAAAGGAGGAUGGAAGCAAGCUGGGUUUAAAAACAAUUAUCAUGAUAGUAAAGGUGCUGUGGAUAUAAUGGAAAAAAUAUAGUGAAAUAAAAAUUGUGAAAAUUAAUGGUAAUGAAUUGUAACAACACACUUGACAGCUAUUUCAAGGCUUGAAAUAGCACAGAUAAUUAGACAACUGAGAAGUUGCUACAGCAUGUAUGGUUUUGUUCAUACUCAGAUCAUUUUAUCUUAUUAAAAAACAUGAAUU
ensembl:lncRNA